rnacentral:rRNA from 1 species
AUACGUAGGGAGCAAGCGUUGUCCGGAAUUACUGGGCGUAAAGGGCGUGUAGGCGGCCGAUCAAGUCAGGUGUGAAAUUUCAGGGCUCAACCCUGAGCGUGCACUUGAAACUGGUUGGCUUGAGUGCAGAAGAGGAAAGUGGAAUUCCCAGUGUAGCGGUGAAAUGCGUAGAUAUUGGGAGGAACACCAGUGGCGAAGGCGACUUUCUGGUCUGUAACUGACGCUGAGGCGCGAAAGCGUGGGGAGCAAACAGGAUUAGAUACCCUGGUAGUCCACGCUGUAAACGAUCAAUACUAGGUGUGCGGGGACUGACCCCCUGCGUGCCGCAGUUAACACAAUAAGUAUUGCACCUGGGGAGUACGAUCGCAAGGUUGAAACUCAAAGGAAUUGACGGGG